rnacentral:rRNA from 1 species
UACGAAGGGGGCUAGCGUUGUUCGGAAUUACUGGGCGUAAAGCGCACGUAGGCGGAUACUUAAGUUAGGGGUGAAAUCCCAGGGCUCAACCCUGGAACUGCCUUUAAUACUGGGUAGCUUGAGUAUGAGAGAGGUGAGUGGAAUCCCCAGUGUAGAGGUGAAAUUCGUAGAUAUCUGAAGGAACAUCAGUGGCGAAAGCGGCCUCCUGGACCAAUACUGACGCUCAAGUGCGAAAGCGUGGGGAGCAAACAGG